GAUUUUAGGCUGAUGCAAUUGGGAAAGGUGAGAGAAAAUUUAUGUCACCGGAACCACUAUAGUGGGAUGGGAACGAGUUGAUCAAUUGCUUGGUGAUAGAUUUCUAGCCAAGAACAAACAGUUGUUACAGAAGAGAGGGGUACAUAUGAUGAUCUUCAACAUCCCUAAUUUUAUGAGGGAAAAGAUUCAUGCCAAGCUUCAGGUUUUGACAUUUCGUCAACCAUUUCUUGAGGUUCCUGAUUACUGGAAAACUUAUGUGAAUGAAGUAGAUCAAGAAAGGGAAAUGUGGUUAAAAUCCUUCUAUAAAGCACCAUUAAGACUCCCAAUGCCAACAGAGCUUCAAUACUGGCGGGAAAGAGGUAUUUCUUCCAUAUUUUAUUCCAACAAAGUAUCGCCUUUUGCUUUUCUUAAGGAACCGGACUGACUUUUGAUGUGAAAAGAGUCAAAGACCUUGGGAAUUGACCAAAGAAUUAACCUUGAUAUGAGCAUUUGUUGUGUAAUAAAGCAUAAAAGUUCUAGGCCCCUUUUCCCUUUUUUUUACUCUUACUUGAUCUGACUCGAUUAUUAUUUACCUAUUUCUUAAAAAUGCCUAUUAUGAGCUGUAAUUGAUCAGUACCUUAUUACUUCUUCAGGCUCACUUUUACUUUUUGAUUGAUUCAUCAUAGGACUGCCGAGAUAGGCGUUUUCCAUUUUCAUUUUCCUGUUGUUAUAUACUCUGUAUUGGAAAAGAAUAUUAUUGGUUAUGAUCCCUGAUCAGUGUCCUUGUUAUUUUCUGUUUGACAUCAAUGUAAGACAUGUGAUGUUCCUCUUAUCUCUUGAUCCUAUUUCUUUCCUCUCCAAGAGAAGAUAUGUUAUAAAUGAUCUUUGCUACAAGUAUGCAACUGUUGGGCAUGAGUAUUCUGUGAAUUCUUGUGUGUGUUUAUGACAUAAAUUAAAGUACGUACCUUUAGAGACCAUAUCCAUGUCAGUGUCAAUUAUUCGACAUGGAUACAUAAGGUGAACUGAAGGUUCCUUUUAGAGGUACGAUAACUAAUAUAUGGAGUACUUGAUUGAAGAGGAAAAGAUUUUCUUUAUGCGUGCCUCAGUUUCUUGUGAGUUGCUUCCUAUUCCAGAGAUGGUAUGCUAGGUUUGGGUUUUUAGUGUAUUUUGAAGAGUACAAUUGGUGUUGCCGGUGAAUGUUGGGUGGUUAUGAUGAAGGCUCAUAGGGAUAAAGUAGUCUUUGAAGUUGGUCAUGAAUAUUUUAUAGUGAUAUUUUGAGUCAUGCAUAUCAUCGUUUUUAGAUUAUACGGAGUAUGUAGAAUAAGUAAUGCCUUCAAUAAAAAUAAAUUAAAAAGGGUUGAAGAUAUUCUAAAAUAAUUUAGUAGCAUAUAUUAUUUUUGUGUAUUCAAGUAUGUUUUCAAAGCGAACCUUAAUUUAGAAAUGGGGGAUAUGUCAGAUAUGUGGGCUAAUUAUCUGUUUUCAAUAUCUUUUCCUCUCCCUCUCUCCCAUUAUUCUUAUUAAUCCUCUUCCACUCUCCCAUUACCCCUUCCCCUAUGUAAUGCAUCAUGUUCUAGCGUAUAUUCUUUCUGUUAUGAAAUAUCAAAGGGAUAUUAGUGCACGGGUUAUGCAUAAUUAUAUUUUUUUGCCUAGAUUUUUCAGUAGUCAAAAGUUUAUGCUAAUUCCAUGUCUUUUUGAUACAGCCAUCGAAAGUGAAAUUUCUUUGAUAUCCUAAUCCUGUUGCAUCCUCCAUAUCAAGCAAAAUCAUGGUGGAAGUUAAAAGUUGAAUGUUAUUUUGUUGUUAAAAUCUCUUCUCCCUGUUAUAUUUCGAUUUGUUUAGGUUGAAAUGAGUUUGUCUAAAUAGGUUGUGUUUUUCAAGAUUUGUUGAAUUAUUGUAUGUAUAUAAUUGAUUGAUUAUGGUUAGUGUUAAGAGGGAUACUUGUAUGUGUUUCACUUGAAACUACGAUGAAAAUUUUAGUUUGGUUUAUAUGAAAUACUCCCU